CCUACGGGAGGCAGCAGUGAGGAAUAUUUGUCAAUGGACGCAAGUCUGAACCAGCCAUGCCGCGUGCAGGAUGACGGCUCUAUGAGUUGUAAACUGCUUUUGUACGAGGGUAAACCCCGAUACGUGUAUCGGGUUGAAAGUAUCGUACGAAUAAGGAUCGGCUAACUCCGUUCCAGCAGCCGCGGUAAUAAGGAGGGGCCGAGCGUUAUCCGGAUUUGUUGGGUUUAAAGGGUGCGUAGGCGGUUUGAUAAGUUAGAGGUGAAAUGUCGGGGCUCAAACCCGAAACUGCCCAUAAUACGGUGGGACUAGAGAAUAGUUGCGGUAGGUGGAAUGUAUGGUGUAGCAGUGAAAUGCUUAGAGAUCAUACAGAACACCGAUUGCGAAGGCAGCUUACCAAACUAUAUCUGACGUUGAGGCACGAAAGCGUGGGUAGCAAACAGGAUUAGAUACCCUUGUAGUC
rnacentral:rRNA from 1 species